UCAGUCGGCCGGACGGCCGCUCUCGCAUGUGCCGAAAGGCCGCGAGGGAGGAAAGUCCGGGCUCCAUCGACAAGCGGUGCCGGAUAACGUCCGGCGAGGCUGUUGCGGCGCGAGCCGGAACAAUCUCAGGGAAAGUGCCACAGAGAACGAACCGCCUCGCCACGUGGUCUCCAUUUGGUGCGGCAAGGGUGAAAAGGUGCGGUAAGAGCGCACCGCGUGGUCAGCAAUGACGACGGCAUGGCAAACCCCACCGGGAGCAAGACCGAAUAGGAACGGCGCAGCAGGAGGUUCGCGAAAGCGAACGCCUGUGAGGCAUGUCGGGCCUUGCCGUUCGGGUAGGUUGCUUGAGACGGCGCGCAAGCGUUGUCCCAGAGGAAUGGCCGUCACGUACCGCCCGCGCAAGCGGCGGUGCCCUACAGAACCCGGCUUACAGGCUGGCUGAUGCU
rnacentral:RNase_P_RNA from 1 species